rnacentral:rRNA from 1 species
UACAAUGGAGAGUUUGAUCCUGGCUCAGGAUGAACGCUAGCGGCAGGCUUAACACAUGCAAGUCGAGGGGUAACAGGGAAAAGCUUGCUUUUCCGCUGACGACCGGCGCACGGGUGCGUAACACGUAUGCAACCUACCUCUUACUGAAGGAUAGCCCAGAGAAAUUUGGAUUAAUACUUCAUAACACCACAAGAUCGCAUGAUCUAAUGGUUAAAGGUUACGGUAAGAGAUGGGCAUGCGGCCUAUUAGUUUGUUGGUGAGGUAAUGGCUCACCAAGACUACGAUAGGUAGGGGGUCUGAGAGGAUUAUCCCCCACACUGGUACUGAGACACGGACCAGACUCCUACGGGAGGCAGCAGUGAGGAAUAUUGCGCAAUGGACGAAAGUCUGACGCAGCCAUGCCGCGUGAAGGAUGACGGCGCUACGCGUUGUAAACUUCUUUUAUAUACCAAGAAACCUUCGGACGUGUCCGAAGCUGACGGUAGUAUAUGAAUAAGCACC